GUCUGUCUGUGUGAUGCUUUUGCCGGGAUCAGGUCAGGAAUGCUGUUCAGAACUUCUGUUAAGUUAGUUAAUGAGUUGGCUGACUAGCUCACUGAGUGAUUCCACAGUCCAGCAGAGAUGGUCAGAGAGUCUGCCUGGAGAUCUCUGCAAGCAGAGGGGGGAAGAUACUAUUGUAGUGCAUUGUACUCAAUAGACUGCAUAGAGUUGAUGAACUAAAGAUUUUCACUGAGACUCAGGUAAUUCACUCAGAUCCAGUGGAGAAGUUGAUUUAUCUCACCUGGCAAGCACAAGCCAAAGAGCUGAUGGAAGAGAGUGAGACUUCUGACAAAGUUAAAAGAAGGAAGGUGAUUGAAAAUGUAUUACCUCCAGCACUGAAGGUGGCCUUAGGAGCUGGUAGCAAGGCAACCACUGGAGAAUGCUUUGAGAUUUUAGAGACGGUAUAUAGAAGUGUCAUAAAUGCAUCUGAGCUUACGGCUCAAUUUUCUGAGUUGUACCAAACAUACUAGAGAACUACUGGCUGUGUACCUGAAUAGAUUACACACUAGCCCAAGAAGUUUUGGAGCCUGGUGAGGUGAGGCUUGUGAGGUAAAAGAUACAGAAUUGGACUCUUAUAUACAAGAUCAAUUUUUCUGUGGUCCUUAUUAAAUACACUCUUUUCAAAAGGAUUAAUGCUAGUGGCGACAAAGAUCUCUUAUGCCACACUCCUUUUUGAGGUGAGAUCUUUUGAAAGGGAGCACUCUGAUCAACAAAAGAGAGAACUUCAAUAAGAAAUAGAAGAAGGAAGGCCAUUGAGUAAGAGUACUUUUCAAUUGCUAAGGGUAUCUGAAAAUACUUGCAGAGCCAGUGACGAAGCCACUGAAAUAGGUUGGAAGGAGAAAUACCUGCAAAUGGAGCAGUGAUUGGUGGGACUGCAGAUGAUCAAGCCAAGUUCUGAAACUUCUGCUCCAUAUAGUCUGUUCACUGCCCAAUCAAGUCCAAAGAAUUUUGAUAAACAAGCAAUAUCAAAAUGUACCAAAAGAAAGCCUUUGUGUUUUAAACAGUGGGCAAAUUUUCAAAAUGAUUGUGAGAAUUCUCCUAACCAACCAAUUAUAUCAGCAGCCAGAAAGAAAAUAAAUUAACAACUCUCAGAGCGAAGUUGUUAUUAAUUGGGUUCAGGAGACAGAUGCUACCCAAAUGGAUGUCAGUGAGGUCAUUCAGCCAUUAGUAGGACCUGUUUGUCAUGGUUAUGUUUACCUAGAUGGAGCAAAGAGUACCUGCUGUAAUAGAUACUGGUUCUCAAGUAACGUGUGUAUGUAAAACUUUCUAUUAUGAGCAUUUAUCUUAUCAACAGUUAGUCUAUUGCCAAUAUACUUCAGAAAGAAUGAACUUGAGGACACAUGAUUCCUGGGAUAUAUAUCCUUGAAGAUAUGAUUCCCAAAGGUCAUCUGUGGGACUAACAGACAAUAUGAGAUACUAGUCUUGGUUUGUCCAGACCAUCAUAUGAAUCAGCAAGUGUCAGUGCUCAUAGGCACAAAUGAGCUGAAAUAUUUUGUGGAAGACUGUAAGAAGAAAUGGGGCCCUGAUUUCUUAAGUAGGAUUUCACUACCAAGUGAGUGGGCUGAAGCUUAGACAAUUUUUCUUCAGUCAUUGCAGUAAGAAGCUGAAGAAGGGGCUGAUGUGAUCCUGAGAAGAAGAAAUUCAGUGACAACUCCACCUGGCCAGAAUUCUGAAAUUUGCAGUGAACAAAUUGGAGACUGCCGUAAUGCUAGAAGAUCCAGGUGUUGCAGUUGGACCUGGUGGGCCAGCAAUUCUGUCUCAAUUUGUUAAAGUCACUGGCUCCAGUAUGAGAACAGGGGUACAAGUCAAAAACUUAUUGAGGAAGGAUGACUCACAUUCUCAUUGUGAAGGGGCAAGCAGUUGAAUGGAUAAAGCUGGUGCCAACUCAAGUUUCAGAAGUUGUGACUAAGAAAGAGACGGUUAUAUUGCCGCUUGACUUUGAAGGAUUUCUUCAGUGCAGUUAAGAGAAAAAAGACUGCUAAGACUAUCAGUAAGGAAACUUGUAAAGCGAAUGCUAUUCAUAAUCUAGACUUUGUAAGAGUUUCAGGAGUGACACAUCAGACUGAGCUCACUAAUGUCCCUUUUUAAAGGAAGAACUAGAAGGGUUUUGCUCUCAGAUUUUGAAAAUAUGCGUCAGCAUGUGUGUGAGUUGGUGGCACUUGGAGUGAUUGAGGAAAUGUAGUCCAUAUGCAUCACAUGUGGUGCUGGUGUGUAAGAAGAUGAGCCCUUAGAAUGAUGGUGGAUUAUAGAAAACUGAACAGUGUUAUCUGAAAGGAUGCUUAUUGGUUACUCAGGAUAGAAGAAUCCUUUGCCUUGCUGGUAGGAUCUAAAUGGUUGUCUGUAUUGGAUCUAAAGAGUGGAUACUAUCAAGUUCCAGUAGAGUCCAGUGAUUGUCUGAAGACAGUCUUCACUACACUGUUUGGUAAUUGGCUUUUCAAAAUGGUGCUGCAAGGCUUGACUCUAAUGCUCCAGCUAUCUUCCAGCAAAUGAUGGAAUGUGUUAUGGCUGGUAUGAAUAUCACAGAAACUGUAGAAUUCUUGGAUGAUUCAAUCAUCUUUUCAGCCACCCUAGAAACACAUGAGGAGUGUCUCCUAGAAAUUUUGAAAAGACUUCAGGAAUACAGCUUAAAACUUGCACUUUCAAAGUGAAUACUUCACUUCAGCCUUCAGUGAAAUACCUGGGUCACAGCACAUCUCAAGAUGGGAUUUGUCCAGACAGAGAGAACUGAUACUAUCAUCAUUUGGCCUGUUCCAACUACCUUCAGAACUUUGUAGAUUCUUGGGAUUUGCUGAUUACUACCUAAGAUUUGUAGAGAGAUACUCUGUUAUUGCAAAACCUUUGAAUUCUCUUCUUGCUGGUGGUCCUAAAGAGAGUACAUGGAAUGGAAAACAACCACUUGAGAGCAGAUGGGAUGCAGUUUGCCAACAGGCCUUUGAAACCUUGAAACAAAAUUUCACUACUGCAUCAAUCCUUGCUGAAAAUCCUCAAUGACUGAAUUCUGGGUCUGCAUGUCCUUUUCUAUAGAAGUUGUAUUUUAAGCACUAGGAGAAGGGUGCUGAAAUAGACUCUAGCCCACCCAAAGAUUACAUGUGCUCUAGUGGGCAUGGACUCUUCUACCCCAUCCCCUACUGCCUGUACUAGUUGUAGCUCUUCCCUACUCCUGGCUCCUUGUUCCAGUUCAUUCUCCCCACCUAGCAAGUCAGGCUCCACUCCUCAAGCCUCUCCUGCCAGUCUUCUUGUUCAGCAAGUCCUUGACCUCCAGUCCCAGUUCCACCCCUGUGUAGCUCCUCAUCCAGUCUGUCUCCCUGGCCUUCCUGCCCAGGUUCACCAUCCUCAGUGCCUUCCAUUCCUCCCCCAGCAGUCUGAGUCCGUUUCCCCAACCUGCUGGCUCACUGUUAUCCUCACCAGCUCCCAGUCCCAGUCUCUCCUUCAACCCUAAAUCCCAGUUUCUUUUCCCCCCCCUGCCAGCCUCCAAUCCCAGUCUCCCUUGCUACUCCCCUUAGAUUCUCUGCAACUCUGGCUCUUGUCCCCUCAGCAUUUUAAUUAGGCACCUUUCUCCUCCACUCUGCCUGGAUCCAGCAAGGGAUCACUGAGAGCACAGGAGAGAGAGUCUACCUAUUUGCACUUCAGGUGCCCAGAGCUGGACCCAACAUUGCUUGCAGUAGCCAUUUCAGGGAAAGUCCUGCUCAGCCCUGAGCUGAAGCUUGCCCAAUGCAGCCAGAAUCUUGGGAGGUAUUUAGCUGCUAAAAUCUUAGUCUCUACUGACUGUGUGCAAAUUGCUUUGAAUCUCAAGACAGAGAGAGGAGCAGGGGGGUGAUGUGUCUAUGGUGACCCAUGUGGCUAAACAGAUGAGAUGGCCUGUUGCAUUUUGUACCACUUGAAACUUUUUAAAGAUGUGUAGCUUUGAGUUUAUUUCUGUGUAAUGUAUGGCUUUUGUGUCAGGUGGAAUCUGCUGUUUUUUCUACUGAUUUCUAGUUUAGUGCUAUGGUUGAUGUUUGAUGACUUGUCAAGUUGCUUAGAGCCAGGGAUGGGAGAAUUUGGAUUUUUA